CAUGAUUUGUAGCAUACAGAUUGAUGGCGACCGGCGCACGGGUGAGUAACGCGUAUGCAACUUACCUAUCAGAGGGGGAUAGCCCGGCGAAAGUCGGAUUACUAUCCCAUAAAACAGGGGUCCCGCAUGGGAAUAUUUGUUAAAGAUUCAUCGCUGAUAGAUAGGCAUGCGUUCCAUUAGGCAGUUGGCGGGGUAACGGCCCACCAAACCGACGAUGGAUAGGGGUUCUGAGAGGAAGGUCCCCCACAUUGGUACUGAGACACGGACCAAACUCCUACGGGAGGCAGCAGUGAGGAAUAUUGGUCAAUGGCCGAGAGGCUGAACCAGCCAAGUCGCGUGAAGGAAGAAGGAUCUAUGGUUUGUAAACUUCUUUUAUAGGGGAAUAAAGUGGAGGACGUGUCCUUUUUUGUAUGUACCCUAUGAAUAAGCAUCGGCUAACUCCGUGCCAGCAGCCGCGGUAAUACGGAGGAUGCGAGCGUUAUCCGGAUUUAUUGGGUUUAAAGGGUGCGUAGGUGGUGAUUUAAGUCAGCGGUGAAAGUUUGUGGCUCAACCAUAAAAUUGCCGUUGAAACUGGGUUACUUGAGUGUGUUUGAGGUAGGCGGAAUGCGUGGUGUAGCGGUGAAAUGCAUAGAUAUCACGAAGAACUCCGAUUG
rnacentral:rRNA from 1 species